AACGAACGCUGGCGGCGUGCUUAAUACAUGUAAGUCGAACGAGGAGUUUUGCUUCGGUAAAUCUCCGAGUGGCGAACGGGUGAGUAACGCGUUGGUGACCUGCCCCGAAGUGGGGGAUAACGGCUCGAAAGGGCUGCUAAUACCCCAUGUGGUCGUAGAGGUUAGAUACUUUACGUCUAAAGGAGUAAUUCGCUUCGGGAUGGGCCUGCGUCCCAUCAGCUAGUUGGUAGGGUAAUGGCCUACCAAGGCGACGACGGGUAGGGGGCCUCAGAGGGUGACCCCCCACAGUGGCACUGAAACACGGGCCAAACACCUACGGGUGGCAGCAGUAGGGAAUAUUGCACAAUGAGCGAAAGCUUGAUGCAGCAACGCCGCGUGCGCGAUGACGGCCUUCGGGUAGUAAAGCGCUUUUCGGGGAGAUGAGGAAGGACAGUAUCCCCGGAAUAAGUCUCGGCUAACUACGUGCCAGCAGCCGCCGUAACAC
rnacentral:rRNA from 1 species